CCGGCAGAGCCACUGCUGUAUUAAGUUUGUCCUCCUGCUGUUACCGUAGCUCCUUUCCCCUUUGUCACGCCUUCCAGUUAGCUUCUAAGUGGCUAGGUUUCCUUAGCGGCAACACCACUUUCUAUAAAAUAACAGGCUCACCGGUAGGCCGACUAAGAUCCCUGGUUUCUGUAAACACUGCCGAUUCGGCUAUCCUUGGUUCCCUGGGUGUUCGUCUGUGAAAGGUGUCCUACUGUCGCUAGACGCUUCCGAGUAGUUGGUGGGUAGAUCUACUACUGAAGGUCUCGGGUGAAAAGACGUUUUAACGAAGCCCUGCACUGUUUACCAAGGAACCUAGCCAACAAAGGUACAUUUAUUUGUAACUCUCGUUAGGGAGAGAAAUAUUUGUCUGUAAACCCUUUUGCUCUUAUCUAUGUCUGUUUACUACCUCUAUGUGAUUGUUGCCGCUUUAGUAUGAUGUAGCACAUGUGAGCUAAUCAUGUCCUCAGUCUAUGAUGCAAAUGCCUGUCUCGCUGUAUCUGACAUAUGCUUGUGUACAGCAGUGUUCUCAUGCCAGCUUGUGGUGACGAGUGCCAGGGGCCCCCUUGCCAUGUUGUGUUUGCUUUUAGGAUGCACUGAGAACCAGUUGCCACUGCUGUUUUGCCUACUGUAAAAUUAAUGUAAAGUAGCUUUCGCCCGUUUUGUUUGUUUUCUUUUUCUGUUUAGUUGGUUU